GACGAACGCUGGCGGCGUGCCUAAUACAUGCAAGUAGAACGCACAGUUUAUACCGUAGCUUGCUACACCAUAGACUGUGAGUUGCGAACGGGUGAGUAACGCGUAGGUAACCUGCCUGGUAGCGGGGGAUAACUAUUGGAAACGAUAGCUAAUACCGCAUAAUAUUAAUUAUUGCAUGAUAAUUAAUUGAAAGGUGCAAUUGCACCACUACCAGAUGGACCUGCGUUGUAUUAGCUAGUAGGUGAGGUAACGGCUCACCUAGGCGACGAUACAUAGCCGACCGGAGAGGGUGAUCGGCCACACUGGGACUGAGACACGGCCCAGACUCCUACGGGAGGCAGCAGUAGGGAAUCUUCGGCAAUGGACGAAAGUCUGACCGAGCAACGCCGCGUGAGUGAAGAAGGUUUUCGGAUCGUAAAGCUCUGUUGUAAGAGAAGAACGGGUGUGAGAGUGGAAAGUUCACACUGUGACGGUAUCUUACCAGAAAGGGGCGGCUAACUACGUG
rnacentral:rRNA from 1 species